CACCAACGCAAUGACUGGGAUCUAUAGGGUCAAGGUAUAGGGUCACCCUAUAUCCCAUAUACCCUAUAUCCCACCCUAUAGACCCUAUAGACCCCUAUAGACCCUAUAGACCCCUAUAGACAGGCCACAUUGCAACCUGGCUCCAACAGGCGUCGUUACCCACGAACGCAAUGACUGGAAUCUAUAGGGUCAAGGUAUUCGGUCACCCUAUAUCCCAUAUACCCUAUAACCCACCCUAUAGACCCUAUAGACCCCUAUAGACCCUAUAGACCCCUAUAGACCCUAUAGACCCCUAUAGACAGGCCACAUUGCAACCUGGCUCCAACAGGCGUCGUUACCCACCAACACAAUGAUAGGAAUCUAUAGGAUCAAGGUAUAGGGUCACCCUAUAUCCCAUAUACCCUAUAUCCCACCCUAUAGACCCUAUAGACUCCUAUAGACCCUAUAGAUCCCUAUAGACCCUUAUAGACAGGCCACAUUGCAAUCUGGCUCCAACAGGCGUCGUUACCCACCAACGCAAUGACUGGGAUCUAUAGGGUCAAGGUAUAGGGUCACCCUAUAUCCCAUAUACCCUAUAUCCCAUACACCCUAUAUCCCAUACACCCUAUAUCCCAUAUACCCUAUAUCCCACCCUAUAGACCCCAUAGACCCCUAUAGGUCCCACCUUGUGCCGCACGAAGGUGUCGAACUCAAUGAGGCUGUAACCCAACGAACCGUCCCCAUAAAGGAUCCAGACCUGCCAUAGGGGGACAGCAAUGACGUGCCCUAUAUCCACCCUAUAUCCACAAACCCUAUAUCCACCCUAUAUCCCACCCUAUAUUCCCCCUAUAUCCCCCCUGUAUCCCCCCCAAUAUCCCCAUGCCCUAUAUCACACCCUAUAUCCCCAAACCCUAUAUAUCCCCUCUAUCCCCAAACCCUAUAUCCCCCUCUAUAUCCCACCCUAUAUCCCCCCUAUAUCCCCAAACCCUAUAUAUCCCCUAUAUCCCCAAACCCUAUAUCCCCAAACCCUAUAUCCCCCCCAUAUCCCACCCUAUAUCCCACCCUAUAUCCCCAAACCCUAUAUUUCCCCUAUAUACCCCCUAUAUCCCCCCCUAUAUCCCCCUCUAUAUCCCCAAACCCUAUAAGCCCAAACCCUAUAUCCCCAAACCCUAUAUCCCCCUAUAUACCCCNCUGAAAGACCCCAAUAAGGGGCACAAAGACCCCAAUAUGGGGCUGAAAGACCCCAAUAAGGGGCACAAAGACCCCAAUAAGGGGCACAAAGACCCCAAUAUGGGGCACAAAGACCCCAAUAUGGGCACAAAGACCCCAAUAAGGGGCAGAAAGACCCCAAUAUGGGGCUGA
rnacentral:lncRNA from 1 species